GAAAUGCGAUAAGUAGUGUGAAUUGCAGAAUUCAGUGAAUCAUCGAAUCUUCGAACGCACAUUGCGCCCCUUGGUAUUCCAUGGGGCAUGCCUGUUCGAGCGUCAUUUGUACCUUCUAGCUUUGCUUGGUGUUGGGUGUUUGUCUCGCCUCUGCGCGCAGACUCGCCUCAAAACAAUUGGCAGCCGGCGUAUUGAUUUCGGAGCGCAGUACAUCUCGCGCUUUGCACUCAUAACGACGACGUCCAAAAAGUACAUUUUUUACACUCUUGACCUCGGAUCAGGUAGGGAUACCCGCUGAACUUAAGC
rnacentral:misc_RNA from 1 species